UGCCUGCUUCGGCAGCACAUAGCUGAAAGUGGAACAAUACAGAAAUUAGCAUAGCUCUGCACAAGGAUGGCAUGUGACUUUGUGAAGUGUUCCAUACUUUG
ensembl:snRNA U6 U6 spliceosomal RNA